rnacentral:rRNA from 1 species
GGGUCAGUAGGUUGGUCGUGCCACCGCUACGUACUGGUCUCACUGAUUCCUGCUUCCUGAAGAACCGUAAUGCCAUUAAUUUGGUGUUGCGGGGAAACAGGACUGUUACUUUGAAAAAAUUAGAGUGUUUAAAGCAAGCUAACGCUUGAAUACAUUAGCAUGGAAUAAUGAAAUAGGACGAUCGAUCCUAUUUUGUUGGUUUCUAGGAUUGACGUAAUGAGUAAUAGGGAGACUUGGG